rnacentral:rRNA from 1 species
GGCGGCGUGCCUAAUACAUGCAAGUCGAGCGAGCUGAAUUCAAAGAUCCCUUCGGGGUGAUUUGUUGGAUGCUAGCGGCGGAUGGGUGAGUAACACGUGGGCAAUCUGCCCUAAAGACUGGGAUACCACUUGGAAACAGGUGCUAAUACCGGAUAACAACACGAAUCGCAUGAUUCAAGUUUGAAAGGCGGCGCAAGCUGUCACUUUAGGAUGAGCCCGCGGCGCAUUAGCUAGUUGGUGGGGUAAAGGCCUACCAAGGCAAUGAUGCGUAGCCGAGUUGAGAGACUGAUCGGCCACAUUGGGACUGAGACACGGCCCAAACUCCUACGGGAGGCAGCAGUAGGGAAUCUUCCACAAUGGACGCAAGUCUGAUGGAGCAACGCCGCGUGAGUGAAGAAGGUUUUCGGAUCGUAAAGCUCUGUUGUUGGUGAAGAAGGAUAGAGGCAGUAACUGGUCUUUAUUUGACGGUAAUCAACCAGAAAGUCACGGCUAACUACGUGCCAGCAGCCGCGGUAAUACGUAGGC